CAUCACGAUGAAAUUUCAAAGAUUACUCGGACCCGUCGGCUAUAGAUUUGCACAUUGAAUGUAUUCAACGGGUCAAUAUCCUUGUACUAUAGCUGAUAGGCCCGAGUAAUCUUUGAAAUUUCAUCGUGAUGGAGAUAUAUCAUUGCAAUUGUUGGUUUCAACGAGGAAUUCUUAGUAAGCGCGAGCCAUCAGCUUGUGUUGACUACGUCCCUG
rnacentral:ncRNA from 2 species